rnacentral:tRNA from 1 species
GUUUGUGUAGAUCAGUGGUUAGAUCGCUUGUCUUACACACAAGAGGUCGCAGGUUCGAAACCUGCCACAAACA